UGNGACAGUGGACCUAGUUGGGGUGCUGAG
rnacentral:piRNA from 1 species